UACGUAGGGUGCGAGCGUUGUCCGGAAUUAUUGGGCGUAAAGAGCUUGUAGGCGGUUUGUCGCGUCUGCUGUGAAAUCUCAAGGCUCAACCUUGAGCUUGCAGUGGGUACGGGCAGACUAGAGUGUGGUAGGGGAGAUCGGAAUUCCUGGUGUAGCGGUGAAAUGCGCAGAUAUCAGGAGGAACACCGGUGGCGAAGGCGGGUCUCUGGGCCGAUAUUGACGCUGAGGAGCGAAAGCGUGGGGAGCGAACAGG
rnacentral:rRNA from 1 species